rnacentral:rRNA from 1 species
GAUGAACGCUAGCGGCAGGCUUAAUACAUGCAAGUCGAGGGGCAGCAGGCCCCGACGCAAGUCGGGGUGCUGGCGACCGGCAAACGGGUGCGGAACACGUACACAACCUUCCUUUAAGUGGGGAAUAGCCCAGAGAAAUUUGGAUUAAUACCCCGUAACAUUAUGAUGUGGCAUCACAUUAUACUUAUAGCUCCGGCGCUUAAUGAUGGGUGUGCGGCUGAUUAGGAGUUGGCGGGGUAACGGCCCACCAAGCCUGCGAUCAGUAACUGGUGUGAGAGCACGACCAGUCACACGGGCACUGAGACACGGGCCCGACUCCUACGGGAGGCAGCAGUAAGGAAUAUUGGGCAAUGGAGGCAACUCUGACCCAGCCAUGCCGCGUGGAGGAUGAAGGUCCUCUGGAUUGUAAACUUCUUUUAUAUGGGACGAAAAGGGCCUUUCCAGGUCAACUGACGGUACCAUAUGAAUAAGCACCGGCUAACUCCGUGCCAGCCGCCG